rnacentral:rRNA from 1 species
ACGAACGCUGGCGGCGUGCCUAAUACAUGCAAGUCGAACGCUUCUUUCCUCCCGAGUGCUUGCACUCAAUUGGAAAGAGGAGUGGCGGACGGGUGAGUAACACGUGGGUAACCUACCCAUCAGAGGGGGAUAACACUUGGAAACAGGCGCUAAUACCGCAUAACAGUUUAUGCCGCAUGGCAUAAGAGUGAAAGGCGCUUUCGGGUGUCGCUGAUGGAUGGACCCGCGGUGCAUUAGCUAGUUGGUGAGGUAACGGCUCACCAAGGCCACGAUGCAUAGCCGACCUGAGAGGGUGAUCGGCCACACUGGGACUGAGACACGGCCCAGACUCCUACGGGAGGCAGCAGUAGGGAAUCUUCGGCAAUGGACGAAAGUCUGACCGAGCAACGCCGCGUGAGUGAAGAAGGUUUUCGGAUCGUAAAACUCUGUUGUUAGAGAAGAACAAGGACGUUAGUAACUGAACGUCCCCUGACGGUAUCUAACCAGAAAGCCACGGCUAACUACGUG